CAGGUGAGAUGAGACAUGAACUUCAAUUCAGAAUCUUUCUCCUGGGCAGGCUCCAAAUCUUCAGGAUGAUGCAAACCUAUCAGCAACUGAUGGCAAUCGUUACAGCCAAGGCGCCUGCCAAGAACAUGGUGAAGAAGUUGCCUUUGGAUUCCUCACUGGUAACAGCCUGAGCCACUGCCCCCUGUGUGAUGAACUGAUGGAGAAAAGUAAGGAGAGAGAAAAUGAUUGGAAAGAAGAGGCAAAGGGAAGGAAUAAAGGAAAAAGAAAAAAAAAGGAGGGGGAGGGGAGGAUUAGGGAGAACAGGGAGAGAAAGAGAAAAGGUAGAAUUGGUGAAGCGGGGGAGAGAAAGAAAAGAGAUAUAAGAAGAAAGAAGAGAAAGAGAAGAUUGGAAAAGAAAUUGGGAGAAAUAGAGGAAAUCGGGGAAAGCCUCAAAAGAAACAGGUUGGGAAGGGAAAAGACAGGGAUAGAAAAAGAGAGGGAGGAGAAACGAGCCAAGGGGAAAAAAAUGAAGGGAGAAAGGACAAGAAGAGGAAAGAAGGUGAGAGAGAGGAGGAGGAAAGAAGGGACAGAGAUGAGCAAUGAACCGUGCAGUUAUAGGAGAUAAUCAGAGAAAUUUAGAAAGAUGACAAAGGCCAGAAAAAGACAAAGAAGAGAAAAAAGAAUAGAAAAAAUGGGGAGAUCAUCGGUCAGAGUAAAGAUUAUUUCUUUCCCCGCCCUCCCUUCCUCCUGAUUAAUUCGAUUCAGCCUCUUACCAUAAGUACAAAGACACCCAAAAAUUCAGCCAAGCAUUGUCGCACUAGAAGAU